ensembl:misc_RNA Metazoa_SRP Metazoan signal recognition particle RNA
GCCAGGUGUGGUGGUGCAUGCCUGUAAUCCCAGCUGCUCUGGAGGCUGAGGCAGGAUAAUCAGUUGAAUCCAGGAGAUGGAGGUUGCAGUGAGCUGAGAUCGAGCCACUGCACUCCACCCUGGGUGACAGAGUGAGACCCUGUCUCAA